UAUUAAAAUUUACAUCCAUUUCUACUAUUAAAAGUUUGUGUGGUUGAUAGAAUAACCAAACAGUUAUACUUGGAUGUAAAUUUUUAACAAUAGAAAUGGAUGUAAUAUUCAACA
rnacentral:pre_miRNA from 1 species